GGAACCUGCGGAAGGAUCAUUACCGAGUUUUCGAGCUCCGGCUCGACUCUCCCACCCUUUGUGAACGUACCUCUGUUGCUUUGGCGGCUCCGGCCGCCAAAGGACCUUCAAACUCCAGUCAGUAAACGCAGACGUCUGAUAAACAAGUUAAUAAACUAAAACUUUCAACAACGGAUCUCUUGGUUCUGGCAUCGAUGAAGAACGCAGCGAAAUGCGAUAAGUAAUGUGAAUUGCAGAAUUCAGUGAAUCAUCGAAUCUUUGAACGCACAUUGCGCCCCUUGGUAUUCCGGGGGGCAUGCCUGUUCGAGCGUCAUUACAACCCUCAAGCUCUGCUUGGAAUUGGGCACCGUCCUCACUGCGGACGCGCCUCAAAGACCUCGGCGGUGGCUGUUCAGCCCUCAAGCGUAGUAGAAUACACCUCGCUUUGGAGCGGUUGGCGUCGCCCGCCGGACGAACCUUCUGAACUUUUCUCAAGGUUGACCUCGGAUCAGGUAGGGAUACCCGCUGAACUUAAGCAUAUCAAUAA
rnacentral:rRNA from 1 species